rfam:Trichobilharzia regenti genome assembly, scaffold: TRE_scaffold0128683
AUCCAGAUGAUGAGUCCCAAAUAGGACGAAAUGCGCAUCCUGGAU